GCUGACCAGCACCUGAUAUGAUGCUAGGUGUGGACUAUUCCACAUGGGUGUGGGCGUGGGUACAAAGUAGGCGCCAUAUGUGGCGCCAAUCCUAUCUCAAGUGAGAGUCCUUCUUUGAUAAGUAGUAGACUAAUUCAAAGCAUAUUUGAAUUAGAAGUCCUAUACUUAUUGGAUCAUGAAAAUCAUCUAUAAAUGGAGAGGGUCUCUACUUAUAGAUGCAUAAGAGAGAGCAUAGAAAUUAGGGAGAAA
rnacentral:lncRNA from 1 species